CAUAGAAUCACAGAAUCAUUCAGGUUGGAAAAGACCCUUGCGAUCAUCGCAUCCAACCAUCAGCCUUACUCUACAAAGUUCCAACCAUGAUCAUUGAUGAAA